rnacentral:rRNA from 1 species
CGGCUCAGUAACACGUGGAUAAUCUGCCCUCAGGUGAGGAAUAAUCCCGGGAAACUGGGGCUAAUACUCAUAGGAGACAGGUGCUGGAAUGCUCUGUCUCCCAAAGGUCCGCCGCGUGAGGAUGAGUCUGCGUCCGAUUAGGUUGUUGUUGGGGUAACGGCCCAACAAGCCCAUUGAUCGGUACGGGUUGUGGGAGCAAGAGCCCGGAGAUGGAUUCUGAGACAUGAAUCCAGGCCCUACGGGGCGCAGCAGGCGCGAAAACUUUACAAUGCGAGCAAUCGUGAUAAGGAAACCCUGAGUGCCUGUCAAUGCAGGCUGUUCUGGUGUCUAACACACACCAGGAGAAAGGGCGGGGCAAGACCGGUGCCAGCCGCCGCGGUAAUACCGGCUGCUCGAGUGAUAGCCGCUUUUACUGGGCUUAAAGCGUUCGUAGCUUGGUCGUUAACUCUCUGGGGAAAUCUUUUGGCUUAACCAAAAGGCGUCUCAGGGAAAGUGGCGAUCUUGGAACCGGGAGAGGUAAGACGUACUUCGGGGGUAGGAGUGAAAUCUUGUAAUCCCCGAGGGACGACCGAUGGCGAAGGCAUCUUACCAGAACGGCUUCGACAGUGAGGGACGAAAGCUGGGGGAGCAAACCGGAUUAGAUACCCGGGUAGUCCCAGCCGUAAACGAUGUGCGUUAGGUGUGUCAGCGACCACGAGUCGCUGAGGUGCCGAAGGGAAACCGUGAAACGCACCGCCUGGGAAGUACGGUCGCAAGGCUGAAACUUAAAGGAAUUGGCGGGGGAGCACAAGGG